GCGAGAGUGGCGGAACUGGCAGACGCGCUGGAUUUAGGAUCCAGUACCGCUAAAGGUGUGGGGGUUCGACUCCCCCCUCUCGCA
rnacentral:tRNA from 1 species